rnacentral:misc_RNA from 1 species
AUGAGUGCUCUUCAAUAAGAACUUUCAACUUUUUUAGUUUUAGUGACUCUCUUGGUGCCUGACGUAGAAGUCCCUUACACAACUUCUUCAACUUCACUUUUUGUUCAUCAAUGAUUUUCAUUUCCGGAGUGCUGUCACAUUUUUGUUUUCCUAAGGAACCAAAAUCAGCAGAAUCCUCAUUGUCAACUUUCUCUUCAUCAACAUUUUCUAUUGCUGGAGUCUCAUCAUAUUUUUCUUCUGCUGAUGAAUCAAAAUCAGCAGAAUCCAUAUCAUCAGAUGCAGAAUCCUCAUCAUCACUAUUGCUAAAAGAUAUCUUUUUUCCCUGAAAGCGG